rnacentral:rRNA from 1 species
AUGCGGACUAUGUGCUGGAACUGUCGCGGGAUUGGCGACCCUGUGACGGUUCGUGAGCUCCGCGAUCUUGUGGAGGCUUGUGCGCCGUCGGUUCUCUGUAUUGUUGAAACCCAACUGGCAAAGGAUCGCGUGGAAAGAUUGGCUGGUUCUUUAGGUUUUUCUAGUAGUUUUGCAGUUCCUAGGAGUGGUCGUAGUGGAGGGCUUUGUAUCUUUUGA